rnacentral:lncRNA from 1 species
UAGCUUGAAGAAAUAGAUUAACUUUCUAUUUGUUCAUUUCUUUAAAUAUUUUUCCAGUUUUCAGAAAUCUUCAGCAUAAAGAAAUGAAAUAUGAGGAUGGAGAAGACUGAGAUCCUGUUUCGGGACUAAUAUGAGCGUUAUACUAAAUGCAUGGGCAUAAUUGCAGUUCUAACAAUAGCAUAGAGACAAGAGGAUACACAAUAAACAUCAAAACUGAACUGAUGAAUGACUGAAAUUCCUACUUUUUGUAUAUACCUAUGACUGCAGCUUCUAAAUCGGAGAUUCUCUCCACAGUUAUUGUUGGGGUUGCUGGUGACUGUGACAUGCCCUUCAAUGCCCUAAAAAUGCGAAGAGAUCCUGUACCUGGAGAGGAAUAACCUUGAAUGUUUCCAGUAAGUGGAAUUUUGACCAGUGAAAUUCAAGGAAAACUUAUUCAGAAAGUGAACUCACUUUGUCCACUUAAGUAAUAAAGAAAAUAUAAUCUCUCUCGGAGCCA